ACCAACAGAAAAUCCUGAAACGAGAUUAAUACCUUAUUUUACAGCAGGGCUAUUUAUCCUCUUUUCAGAAGUUGUCAUUCCUACCAAGAAAAGAGGGGCAUUGAAUGAGUCUGCCGUUAUCUGCUGUUCAUGGGACCCUGCUAGCAGAUUUCAUCCAUGCCCAACGUUUUGUUCUAAGACAACGGAAGAGGACUUUUAGCAGGAGACAGCACAACAGGGCUUAAGCAUAGAAGGCAAACACAAUGACUAACGUGUGUCAGUGUCCAAGACUUAAGCUGGCUGCAAGAAAAUUCAGAAAAGUUUAAAGGCCAUACCCCAGACUUCUGGGCCUAUCAGCUCACUUCUCUUCAGCCUUAGGGGCAGAAGACUUUGAAGAGCAUGACGGUGACCACGUCACUGCCUACUUCCUGAGGACUCAGCCACGAGCGCUCCUUUCGUUCAUCUGCAUGUAUCCAUGCCCCACUGCAUACGAUGCACGCGGCAUUUUGUUGGAAAGGACAUGGCUCUGAAGUUAAAAGGAUCUGCUGAAAUAAUUGUUUCAACUAGAGUUUAAAAACCAUCAAACAAGCUAGUCUGACUUAAUUCGUUACUCCAAUUUUGAAAGAGCAUAUGCAGUCCUGGCUUCCUGCUGUUCUGUCAUGAGUGAGGCAGGGAGAAGAGUGGCA